GAAUAUAAAUCCAAACCAAAGACCGUAGGGGGAUAUAUCCUUAAAUAACCUACCGAGGUUGGAGUUUAGGUAUACUAACCUCAAUACUCAACCCCUGUUUUUGUGAAUAGGGGUUUAUUUUUAGA
rnacentral:sRNA from 1 species